rnacentral:rRNA from 1 species
UACGGGGGGAGCAAGCGUUGUUCGGAUUUACUGGGCGUAAAGGGCGCGUAGGCGGCGUGACAAGUCACUUGUGAAAUCUCCGGGCUUAACUCGGAACGGUCAAGUGAUACUGUCGUGCUAGAGUACAGAAGGGGCAACUGGAAUUCUCGGUGUAGCGGUGAAAUGCGUAGAUAUCGAGAGGAACACCAGAGGUGAAGACGGGUUGCUGGGCCGACACUGACGCUGAGGCGCGAAAGCCAGGGGAGCAAACGGG